AUUGAACGCUGGCGGCAGGCUUAACACAUGCAAGUCGAGCGAGCGGCGGACGGGUGAGUAAUGUCUGGGCAAUUGCCUGAUGGAGGGGGAUAACUACUGGAAACGGUAGCUAAUACCGCAUCCCAUCAGAUGUGCCCAGAUGGGAUUAGCUAGUAGGUGGGGUAAUGGCUCGCCUAGGCGACGAUCCCUAGCUGGUCUGAGAGGAUGACCAACAACACUGCAACUGAGACACGGACCAGACUCCUACGAGGGGCAGCAGUAGGGAUAAUUGCACUAUAGGCGCAAGCCUGCAGCAGCCAUGCCGCGUGUAGAGAGAAGGCCUUCAGGUUGAUGAGCACGUUCAACGAGGAGGCGUUACUCGGAGGAGAAGCACCAACUUACUACGUGCCUGCAGCCGCGGUAAUAC
rnacentral:rRNA from 1 species